CAGAGCUCUACGUUGAACCUCGGCAGGCAUGGUGACAGCAGAAAAGGCCCAGUCACGGCGAUUUAAAUCUAUGGUGACUCAUACGGACGACACCGCCCGGUGCUACACAGAUGGCUCUGCACGGGGCUGCACUCGGUUCCUGUCAGUGACACCUGGUGGCUUGGCAUCGACCCAGGUACAGCGUUGCUGAAACUGUGCCAUUUUGCUACAAUCAGCAUCAAGCUGCGCCAAGCGUCGUAAAGGUUGCGUUGAGACAAAGUUUAUUGUUCUGUUCCUCCACACAUCGAGAGAGUUGUUUGCCCGAUAGUCUUGUAAACUUUUCUAAAUUGCUGCAGAUCAGCUUGCCUCUACUUCUUUGUGCCAGUGCAGUGCACGUGGUAAACAGGGUCCUCACACUAGUCAUUUUUGUAUCUGUGGCAGUUUCUCGGCCACAGAAAGUCCAACGCGACGCUACGACUUGGGAGAUGUCCGAGAGUAGAACUCAUUCUGUGUUGGAAAAUUUGUGAUCUUUUUAUUCUCAGUCAAUUCUGAGUCAGUGCCACCACCUUAUCGAAAGCUCGGGGUUGCACUUGUUUUACCAUGGGCACACUUUUCGCUAUUUGGUAGUUUCGUGUGACGAUAUCACCACGUGACGCCAUCUUAUGUGAUGUCGAAAUAAGACAGUCAACUGCCGAUUUUCGUUUUUAACUGCCAGUUAGUUAACUGUUUAUUCUUUUAUUAAAAAAAAAAAAGAACCAAAACGCUGUGCUACAUCGAGUCAUAGGCAGAGCGCCUAGCAUCCAGGAAGUACGCCAGACCAAGGCUGCCCGAACAAGAACGCUUUUUUAGAGGCGGCUUUUGUUUUUAUAGCCAUCAUGAAAUCAUGUUAGGUGCAACUCGGUGCAAGCAUAAACAACGCUAUCUGUAACCGUAGGUCGCCAUGCGCGUGCAUGUGUAGCGCAAACUACUUUGCAGCAGCCCUUCCUUCUUAUGGUGGUUCUGCUGUACUGGUUUCUUGGGCUCAUCGGAAAGAG